CGUGCCCGGGCGGAGCGGGCGCGCUGGGCCCGGUAGCCGCGGCCAUGUGGGGCUGUGGUGACUCCGGUGGAGCCGCCGCCGCCACCGUCGUUCUGAGCGGGACCCGUGACUGCUUCCUGCACCUGCCGCCCGCGCUGGCCUCGCUCCUCCGCCUGCAGCAGGGUCAAGCUGUGAAAGUAUCCUGUGGUCAUCAGUCAGUAUUUUUGAGCUGGAUGGAAACUAGGCAUCGAGAUCACCGGAGUGAAAAUACUGCAGAGAUUAACAGACAUUUGGCAGAGAAACUUGGCAUCACAGAUGGAGAACAGGUGUUUCUUGAACCCUGUUCCCAUGUGUCCUCCUGUCAGCAAGUAGAAGUGGAACCACUCACAGCAGAUGAUUGGGAAAUUCUGGAACUGCAUGCUUCCUCCCUUGAAAGACAUCUUCUUGACCAGAUUCGAGUGGUGUUUCCAAGAGCCAUCUUUCCUGUCUGGGUUGAGCAGCACACCCACGUUUACAUCAGAAUUGGUACACUUGUGCCAGCAGCCCCAUAUGGGAGAUUAGAGCCAUGCACGGAGCUUCUGAUAUGUCCCAAAACACACGGACCUGAGGAGAAUAUCACCAGCACACCUGCCACAGAAAGUGACAUCUUGCUCAAAAAUUUUGUGAAAAAUAACAUGGAACAAGAAGACACAUUAAAGGAUCCUUUUGCCAAACAACCUUACUUAAAGUCUGGAGUCCUUGAACAGAGUAAGGCUGAUGCAAACAUGACAUUUGGCUCAAAUGUUCUCCCAAAUAUAUGGAAUUUCAUAGGGAACAUUUUCUCUAAUACAUCAGAGCAGAAACAAAAGACUUUGUGUGAUAAUAAUGAAAUGAGCGCCUUCAAAGACAAGCUGCUGAACUUAAUUCACAUGGAUUCCAUUUUUAGAGUAUGUCAGUCCCAGCCUCCCAGCGUACAGAAUGUAUCCACCACUCAUGAAUUUCUGAAAUGCAAUGCUGUUCACGUUUUUCCAUGGAAUUUAGAAUAUAUUGAUUUGGAUCCAAAUCCUGUAGUAUCUUAUGGGAAAAUUAAUGAGCUGCUUUCCCCAAGAGCGCGUCAUCAAGAAGCAAAACAAAAUCUGCCACUUGAAAAGCAAAAUCAUUUCAUUAAUACACAAGAAAAAAAUCCUUCUAAUUCUAAUACUGGCCAAGCAUCCAGUGAGGGAUCUGUUGUUCAGAUCGUUUGGAAUGGAUUUGAAGACCUAAAGAGUGUCAUAGAGUAUGGCCACGAUGGGGGAGCCCUGCAUGCUGGAAGAGUUUGGAUUGCAGAUGGUCUGCGAAAAAAACUACAUAUUGAAAUACAUUCAACGGUCCGAAUUAAGUCAGUUGAAUCUAUUCCUAAAAUUCCUGUAUCUCUUACAUUGCAACCCAAACAGAACUUACAUAAAGAUAUACAUGAAGAUGAUGUUAAAUGUGCAUUCAGUUCUUGGCUGCAGGAUUGCACUACUGAUGAUCAUCCAUGGAUAAUGACAAGCACAGACUGUGUACAUCUGUCUGUUAAAGAAGGAAUGGAGGAGUUUGUCCUUAGUGCAGUGCAUCCUGUGCACAUUGAAGAAAAUAAGUCUGAGAAUAUUUUUAUGCUGAGUCCCAGUUUGCUGCAAAAGACAAAUAUACAAGUUCUUUUACAUCCUGUAAGUAGAAAAGCUGAUGAUGACAACCAACCACCUAUGACUGAUGGAGACAAGAACCUUCCAUACCUCAAACUAAGUGAUUUAGGAGGAGUGGGCAAAUUAGGAACAUCUUUAUUUGAACACAUAAGCCACAGUCUUCUGGGGCGUCCUUUAUCUCAAAAGCUGGCUGCUAAUGCUGUGGGACUGCGAAGUGGAGGGGUGCUUCUCACAGGAGGAAAGGGAAGUGGAAAGUCAACAUUAGCAAAGGCCAUCUGCAAAGAAGCUUUCACUGAACUGGAUGCUCAUGUAGAAAUAAUUGACUGUAAAGCUUUAAGAGGAAAAAGAUUAGUAAACAUAAGGAAACAUGUGGAAGAAGCUUUUUUAGAGGCAGCAUGGAGACAGCCAUCCAUUCUUCUGAUGGAUGAUCUUGAUCACAUUGUUGGAGUACCUUCUACACCAGAGCAUGAGAACAGCCCUGAAACUGUUCAAAGCAAUAGACUUGCUUAUGUUUUGAAAGAUCUGAUGAAAGAAGUUAUUUCCAUGGGGAGUUUGAUUGCAUUAAUUGCUACGAGUCAGUCUGAACAUUCGCUUCAUCCUUCCCUGGUUUCAGCACAAGGAACUCAUGUAUUUCAGUGCUUCAAAUGUAUUCGAACUCCAGAUCAGAACCAAAGACGUGAAAUGCUGUAUUCCAUAAUAAAGAAAAAACUGAAUUCUGAUCCAAAGGACUUCUCUGAUCUUGACCUCCAGUGUAUUGCAAAGGAAACAGAAGGUUUUGUUGCUAGAGAUUUUACUAUGCUGGUUGAUCGUGCCAUUCAUACCUGUGCUUCUAACCAGAAUGCAUCAGAUGAUGGUGCAGAUUUGAACCUGUCAACUGUGGAUUUUCAAAGGGCUCUAAAGGAUUUUACUCCAUUAGCUCUGAGAAAUGUCAAUCUUCAUAAACCUAAAGACCUUGGCUGGGACAGGAUUGGUGGCUUAAAAGAUGUGAAGCAAAUGCUCAGGGAUACCAUCAUGUUACCUGCAAAGUAUCCAGAAUUAUUUGCAAGCCUGCCCAUACGACAAAGAUCAGGAGUUUUGCUGUAUGGAGCACCUGGAACAGGAAAAACAUUGUUGGCAGGAGUGGUUGCGAGAGAGAGUGGAAUGAAUUUCAUCAGCAUUAAGGGACCAGAGCUGCUCAGCAAGUACAUUGGAGCAAGUGAACAAGCAGUUCGAGAUAUAUUUAACAGAGCUCAGGCAGCUAAGCCUUGUAUUGUUUUCUUCGAUGAGUUUGAUUCUAUUGCUCCUCGCCGAGGUCACGACAACACAGGAGUUACUGACCGAGUGGUUAACCAGUUGUUGACUCAGUUAGAUGGUGUGGAAGGCCUGCAAGGAGUUUAUGUGCUAGCUGCUACCAGUCGCCCAGAUUUGAUUGACCCUGCUUUGUUAAGGCCAGGUCGACUGGAUAAAUGCCUGUACUGUCCACCUCCUGAUCAGAACUCACGCUAUGAAAUCUUAAAAGCUCUCAGUCAUUCCCUGUCCUUGGCAAAUGAUGUGGACUUUCAGGAUUUGGCAUCAAAAACAGAACAGUUCACAGGGGCUGACCUAAAAGCUUUAUUAUACAAUGCCCAAUUGGAAGCAAUCCAUACUAAUUUAAAUUUAGGUUUAACACAGGAUUUUGGAUCUAGUUCUGAUAGUGACUUCAGUCUCUCUUCCAUGGUUUUUCUUAACCACAGCAGUGGCUCAGAUGAUUCAGCAAUAGAUGGAGAAGCGGGGCUAGAGCACUCUCUUAUUUCUUUAGACAUGUCUGACUUGCUUCCUGAAGAUCCAAGGUCCAACAUAUAUCGCCUUUAUUUUGGAAGCUCUUAUGAAUCAGAGCUGGGAAAUGGAACUCCUUCAGAGCUGAGCUCUCUGUGUUUGUCCGGUCCAAACUCCAUAACUUAUGACCUUACCAGCAUCACUCACAGAGAUGUUGUAUCCUCACAACCUGCAAUGUUUAGAGAAGCUUCUCAAGAAGGAUCCCUGGAGAACCAGGAGCAGCAAGCAGAGCACCUGAGGACAGAAAUCAAUGCUAGCAAGGCCAAUUACAGAAGCAAGAAUGGAAAACUUUUCAUUGUCUCUUCAUGGCUCUUUUCAAGGAGGACAGCACCUUUAAUCAAUCAAUGCUUCCCAAGACCACUUUAACUAUUACCCAGUCUCAUCUGAUGACUGCUCUUCAGGGUAUGAGACCAUCCAUUAGUCAGGAUGACUGGAAGCAUUUCACUGAACUGUAUGAUAAUUUUCAGAAUCCCAAGAAGAGUAAAGUACAGAUUGGUGCAACAUUCAGACCAGGACAAAAAAUUACUCUAGCUUAGUAACUUGUAUUUGCUUGUAAUUGCUGAACUGUAACUGGAAAUUACAGAUAUGAUGAAAUCAGAUUAUUUAUAUUCAUAUGGAUUUAUUAAUGCAGCAGUGAAGAUAAGUUUCUUUUAAACUUACAUGCUGUAAAAUUAUGUCACAUUUUAUUUUGAAGAAAAUUGUCCUCCUUUAGAUUGAUAUUAAAUUUUUUGAGAGAACAUUUGUUA